rnacentral:rRNA from 1 species
AGUGAACGCUGGCGGCGUGCUUAACACAUGCAAGUCGAACGAGAACGGAUUAUAGCUUGCUAUAAUUGUCAGCUAAGUGGCGCACGGGUGAGUAAUGUAUAGGUAAUAUGCCUCUUACUAAGGGAUAACAAUUGGAAACGAUUGCUAAUACCUUAUAUUCCUUUUUAUCAAAAGAUAAAAAGGGAAAGAUUUAUUGGUAAGAGAUUAGCCUGUAUUGUAUCAGUUAGUUGGUGGGGUAAUGGCCUACCAAGACAAUGACGCAUAACUGGUUUGAGAGGAUGAUCAGUCACACUGGAACUGAGACACGGUCCAGACUCCUACGGGAGGCAGCAGUGGGGAAUAUUGCACAAUGGACGAAAGUCUGAUGCAGCAACGCCACGUGGAGGAUGACACAUUUCGGUGCGUAAACUCCUUUUAUAUAAGAAGAUAAUGACGGUAUUAUAUGAAUAAGCACCGGCUAACUCCGUGCCAGCCGCCGCAGUAAAAC